GUGACUUUAGUAAUAUUUAAAGACACCAGCAAUGUUUCAGUAAAAGCUGCUGAAGCAUUGCUGGUGUGUUUAAAUAUUACUAAAGUCAC